AUACGUAAGGUCCGAGCGUUGUCCGGAAUCAUUGGGCGUAAAGGGUACGUAGGCGGAUAAGCAAGUUAGAAGUGAAAUCCUAUAGCUCAACUAUAGUAAGCUUUUAAAACUGCUCAUCUUGAGGUAUGGAAGGGAAAGUGGAAUUCCUAGUGUAGCGGUGAAAUGCGCAGAUAUUAGGAGGAAUACCGGUGGCGAAGGCGACUUUCUGGCCAUAAACUGACGCUGAGGUACGAAAGCGUGGGUAGCAAACAGGAUUAGAUACCCUGGUAGUCAAGGGCG
rnacentral:rRNA from 1 species